UCGUGCUAGGCGGAGGGUUCGAGGUCCUCUAUAAACCGCAAAUCCUCGUAAGGCGGGCUGAAUCCCCAUCAGAGGGCGAAGUUGGUGACACCGGCUGGUUCCUGAAGCGUUGAUAGAUGGGUUCCACGCGGCGAAAGUCCGUGAACCCCGCCAGGAUCGGAAGAUAGCAACGGUAAACGGGAACGUUCGGGUGACGUGGAAGAGCCUGUCUGGAGCUUAAGGUUCGAGACGCGGGUCAUUGAUUUUGUUCGAGGGUGGGUGCACGG
rnacentral:SRP_RNA from 1 species